rnacentral:rRNA from 1 species
CCCUUAGAUGUUCUGGGCCGCACGCGCGCUACACUGACGAAUGCAACGAGCUUAUAACCUUGGCCGAAAGGUCUGGGUAAUCUCCAAAUUUCGUCGUGAUGGGGAUAGAUUAUUGCAAUUAUUAAUCUUCAACGAGGAAUGCCUAGUAAGCGCAAGUCAUCAGCUUGCGUUGAUUACGUCCCUGCCCUUUGUACACACCGCCCGUCGCACCUACCGAUUGAAUGGUCCGGUGAAGCCUCGGGAUUGUGGCUGGUUUCCUUUAUUGGAGGUCGGUUGCGAGAACUUGUCUAAACCUUAUCAUUUAGAGGAAGGUGAANUCGUAACA